rnacentral:rRNA from 1 species
GUAGUUAGCCGUGGCUUCCUCCUCAGGUACCGUCAUUAUCGUCCCUGAAGACAGAGCUUUACAAUCCGAAGACCGUCAUCACUCACGCGGCGUUGCUGGGUCAGGCUUGCGCCCAUUGCCCAAUAUUCCCCACUGCUGCCUCCCGUAGGAGUCUGGACCGUGUCUCAGUUCCAGUGUGGCCGAUCAGCCUCUCAGCUCGGCUACCCAUCGUCGGCUUGGUGGGCUGUUAUCUCACCAACUACCUAAUGGGACGCGAACCCCUCUUAUAGCGAUAAAUCUUUGACCUCUGUACCAUGCGGCACUGUGGUCUUAUGCGGUAUUAGCACUUGUUUCCAGGUGUUAUUCCCCACUAUAAGGCAGGUUGUUCACGCGUUACUCACCCGUUCGCCACUAAGAUAUCGUGUCUUCCAUCCGAAAACUUCCAACUCAAUAUCUCCGUUCGACUUGCAUGUGUUAGGCACGCCGCCAGCGUUCGUCCUGAACCAAGAUCAAAUUCUGA